CACUUGCUGCUCGUUUGGCAAUGAGGACCUCCACCAACCACAGGAUAGCAUCUGGCAUGAGAUAGCAGUGCACCUGCUAAUACUUACACCAGAGUUAGCAGAACUGCCUUCCAUAUUCCUGGAAUCAUGAGAUCUUGGAAGAACAUACUCAACUGAAAGAAAAAAAAAGAAAGAAGACUUUCUCAUCUACUUGCUCCCCAGAUUUUUGAAACGGAUCCAAUGAAUAAUCUUUGGUGGUAGUGGUUGUUAAAAUGGCUGGUGGAGGCAAAGAGGGAUGACGGGAAAUUUUGGAGUCAAAACUCUGGAAUUCUCUGUGUUUUCUGGUGGCAGACGUUUCAUGUAUUAGUUCACUUAAAAUUUGCAUCAAAGACUAUAACCUGACAAUAUGAGAAUUAUACUUUUUUUUCCCCCAUUUUGCUCUGCAUUUUAAGGCCAUCCCAAGCCCAAUGGCAUUUUCCUGUUGCAUUUUGCUGGUGGUGUCACCAUAAGACAUAUUAAAAUGAAUGAGAUGUA